rnacentral:lncRNA from 1 species
CGGUUGCUUAACCGUUCACUUAGCGACAGCCUCGACACACUCCUUAAUAGGUAGUAGCUGGCAACCCGCACGCCAGAUGCACGUGAUCAACACAUAUCUGGAUCGUCUGGAAACUGACCUCCAGUCUGUGCCCGCAAGGCACAGCCACGUCAGCAACCCACCACUACUUAAGCGGAGCCCACCUGAGACUCCGGAGAGACUAUACGAUGUACACUGUUACUGUAUGUAACAUCUAGACCUGUGUCUCGUCAAUACAAGCUGUUCUCCCAUACUUUGAGUUCGUCCAUUUACUCAUUGUAACUACCUGUUACAUUUGGUGAACGUGCCUGCGCGAAGCUGACAUCUUCAACAUCUUUCAGCCCGAACCUUCCACCAUGUCUUCCAGACCUUGCCAUACGAUACAACAAUAUCUUCAAGAUUAUCUACAUAUCAUCACACUCAUCACUACCAUCUACGAUACACUCAAACUUUAUCACCAAAAACAGUAAAAUUUUAAAACAUACCUUGAGUAUUCAAAAUUCAACAUGUUGACAGCUGUAUUUCAAGUCCUCAAAUCAACGCUCAACCACAAAACUGAUUUUGAAGUAAUUUUCAUAUGUACUGAAAAUUCACCAAAUGAUUCAAACUGGUUAUUGAAGACCAAAUCAUUCGAUCCACCAAUAUUUUAAAUAACAAAUCAAAUUUCUAAAAAUAUUCCAUCUUCGUAGUAUAUAAAUGUAGAUUCAACACCCCAACCCUUAACUAACCUUCUAAUGCAUCCUUUCCAUUUUUUCACACAAAUUUUUAUUUUAUACUUUACUACUGUCAUUGAAUUCUCUCAUUUUUCCGACCCAAUCGACCAUCUUGUUUGAACUAACAAAGAAAACGCCACAUAUUGCGUUCUAACUUACCAUUCCGUACGUCUUCCUGUAUGGACGAAACAAAUCAAGACAGACAAUUCCACACUUCAUCAAGAAGAAACAGCAGCAAAUUAAGAAUGUUAUAACUCAGCACAUUUAUUUCACAUUUUUCACCUGGAGAAUGUUUUUACCCUUCUACAACAGGCCUAUGUGUAAAUAUUAAAAUGCCGAUAAGUAUCGUUUCUCAAAGGAAGAAGUGGGAUUUUUAGGACAUAUCGUAUCCUAAGGAGGAAUCGAAGUUAUUUAAUCCGUAACCAACUACAGAAGAUAUUUACAAAUUCACCAACAAGACCCAUGGUUCCCAGCUUACAAAAAGCAAAGUACCAUGGACACGGGGAACUGAGGAGCAGACGUGCUACGAUGGCUACUGCCGUCACCUUAGGAAAACCAGGGCGCCCAUGAGGAAUCUGUUAUUGAUUCAUGAGGAAUCUGUUAUUGAUUCAUGAGAACAUUCUGUUGCGUAUGCCUCUAUAAACACAUGACCAAGUAAACUAGAACUGAGUGGACCCCUACUCAGCAACUAGAUAUAUUUUGCAAGGAAAUCUACAUGGACGGCAUGGCGCAAAGAAAGGAACUUGUCGACAGUGAGCAAGUCAGUAGUCCCGGUGAAACUACAUAAGAGAUACUUCUGUUUGUUGUCCAAGCAUGUACGCAUAUUGCAAACUGUUAAUUUAUGCUGAACAAACGCCAUAACAAACGUGCACAGCCCUACUGCCAUCCAUACCGAUUGACAAACAUUUUUUUGACGGUUGGAAAUAUUUAGCAGCAAGAGCCCCGUUUUAAAACGCCUACUUGAAAAUGGAUGUAUCUUGAUGGAUAUAGAGUAUGCGACACACUGUAUUCGCUAUUCAACAAAAAAAUGUAUCGGCCUAAUCUUCAAAACAAAAGUUCACUGGCAAAUAACACUGAACUAAGACGGUUUGACUGACAACAUGAUCGACUAUCGAGAUACACAUUUUUUCAAACUUCAGUAAUGACAGAAACGAGCUAAAUCAAGCCAUUUAAGCAAUUACAUGCCACCACCCACUAUAAGACCACCGGAUUAUAAUACUUCUGAUGUAUGUGUACAACUAACCCUAUUAUCACGAGACGGAAUGUGAUACUAUUAAUGGGGUAAACAACUAAAUUUCGUAGAGUCAACGUCCACAAAACUUUACAUUCCAGUACAAGAAUUUAACCUUUCUUUCUUCUCAAGGCUUUACGACCUUAGAACAAAAAAAUGAUGAAGGCCUCUUGUGAGGAUUGUUAGUGAUUGCCAACUAAACUUGUCCUCAUAAAACCAUGGUAUGAGACAAUUUAUUAGCAAAAACAAAAAAAAAUACGCGAUUGCACAAGCAAAACUGAACCACUAUUACAAUCGUUUACUGAAGAAUUACUCUUCGAGUAACACGACGCCGUGCUUCUUAAAGUCUACAUGUGCAGAUCGGAAAAUGAACUUGAGGUAAACGCUCAUAGUAAUUGAAAAUUUUCCGAUCCCAAAUUAUUGAUGUAUCAAAUUGACGAAGACUACGAAAUGUUGCAGUACACUGAAAUCUCCUCAACCAAAGGAACCUUAUUGUAAACCGAAUCUCACUAAUAGAUGCAAAAUUAACAAAGGAGUUAAACGAACGAUCCAUUCAAAAGAUAUAUCAGAAAGUGAAACUGGACUUGAAAAAACUUUCUAAAAUCCCCGAGGCUACAACAGUAAAGAAGCCUACGAAAAGGAAAUCGUCUGUUCAAAGAAUUCAAAAUACGGAUUCGUCUUUUUCAAAUAAGGGAGGAAUGAGAGUAGACUUCUCCGCUAUUAACAAAUUCACAUACUAACUUUGGGAGGAAUGUAACGGUUGCUUAACCGUUCACUUAGCGACAGCCUCGACACACUCCUUAAUAGGUAGUAGCUGGCAACCCGCACGCCAGAUGCACGUGAUCAACACAUAUCUGGAUCGUCUGGAAACUGACCUCCAGUCUGUGCCCGCAAGGCACAGCCACGUCAGCAACCCACCACUACUUAAGCGGAGCCCACCUGAGACUCCGGAGAGACUAUACGAUGUACACUGUUACUGUAUGUAACAUCUAGACCUGUGUCUCGUCAAUACAAGCUGUUCUCCCAUA